ensembl:lncRNA
CGGCUGUUAUGUGUAUCAAGUGGUGUAAUGUAGUUUGACACUGUGGCACAACGCUCACAUCUCCACUUCUGGAGUGGGGCUCAGGAACCCUGCUUUCGUGCUGUUGAAUACAUUUUCUCAAUUACCAACGUUAAAUGAGGAGCGGCACUGGUCUCCACGGUCGUCUGUCUCAGCCUGUGCUGCUGAUUCAAGCAGCUUGUGCUCCACCACAGACUGUGUUUCCCGUGGUGUGUCUGAAUCUCUGCUGUUCUUCCUGUGGUGGACAUGCAGCUGCUGUGGAGUUGUUCUCAAACUGAUGGUGAAUUAGGAGAUUUUUCUCUCGGAGCUCCAGAUACUUACACGUUACUAACAAAACAUAUGAAUUGUAUAUGUAUAUGGUUAUCAUGCACUAAAAUGCCAUAGUUUUACCAUUAUUGUCACUUUUAUUGAAAGGUAGAGCAGAGAAUAGACAGGAAAUUGUAUGGAAACAGUCACACAAGCUAGACUCGAAUAUGUGUCGCCAGCUAGAGCAGAAUUGCAUCAAUUUUGAACUGACCUAAAGGUAUGUUUUUAUAAGCCAGGAAUUUUUUGAACCAAUCAUGCACUAUGGUUAACAUUACCUAAAUUAACUCCUUGCAUAUUAUAAAUAUAGCUGUUCAUAACAAAUGGUUUAUACAGUACUAUUGUAACUCAAGUGUUACUUUAUUAUCUGAAAGCAAUGUUCUGCUGUGUCAAAUCUAGUCCUCAGAUUUGUAACUGAUCUGAAUCUGAUUUGAUCUGAAAUUGAUGAUUCCCAGUGUCAGUACCGUUCCAUAAACUUCAGUAAGCUGCAUGAGAGCUCACCGCUAAGCUACGUCUGCAACAAAUUCUGCCUUUAGCACAGGAGUCAAUAUCAUGGUCUGAUGUAGGUAGAGUUCGGAAAGGAGGCAUAGUUCAGCUAGAAAUCAUCCUCCUACGCUGCCUAUUCUAAAACAUAUAAAAGUCUAUUUCUGAUUUACUCUGAGUACAAUAAUCCCGCUCAUGUGGAGCAGAGGCUUUUCCAGUGAGGAGUCAAUUGAGGGAAGAGGGCUUGUAUUGCUCUCCAUCUGAGAGGUAAUUAAUUUCAAUUCCAUUCAUUUGUCUCUUUGCCUGACAUUUUAAGCACUGACACUGAUGUGGAGUUUAUAUGGAUUAAUAAUACCCGGCUCAUUCCCGUUGUGGCAUUAACCUGCUUUUGUGUAUUAUCAGAGAAAAACAGACCUGAACACAAGCGCGACUGACCCACAUCAUUACCCUGAACAUGAAAAAAUGUUUACAGGUAAUCUCAAGUUAAUGUGACAUCUGAUAUUCAUUUACACGAGCCCGGCCUGUUUACUGUCCUUCACGAGCAACCACAAAACAAAAGACCUUUGUAAUAUUUAAUAAAGAUGCUUUUGUUAUCA